AAAAAACUUGUAAAAAAUAAUAAAUGAAUAUAUCCUAUACAUAUUCAAUGUAGCAAAAAAACAAGAGGUUCCUCGAGUUUCUUUCUUUCCGAUCUAGUUAUUCUCUCUACAAGAAAUGUACACAACUCUCGUCAUCUCGUGAAGAACCAUCAAGUGCAUAUGGAUGUGUAAAUUUGAAAAUGAAGAAGAGGCAACACAAGCUUAAGAAUCAAAUAGAACGACUAAUAUCCCAGAGAAAAGGUGCAAAAUUAGUCAUGGUCACGUGUUACCAGCACUCCCGGGAGGACCAUUGGUUGAUUUGAAUUUUGAAAGUUCAACUAGGUCCCCGAACAAUUUGUCUUGUGGCUUUGAGGGCUUUCCGGGUGGCACAUAGGAAGGAGUGGGAACUUGAUAAGAACUGUGGUGUACACCAUUGUCACUCAUAGAGAGCCCAGACAUUCCUUGGUUUAGGAAUUGGGUAUUUUGUUGUUGAGCAUUACCAUAACCAUAGCUCGCCAUUUGGUUGCCAUACAUCUGCUGGGAAUACAUAUAAACCAUUUGUCCAGGUGGCAUUUGUUGUGGAUACAUACCCGCAGGUUGUCCACCUUGGAAUUGUUGUUGAGGAUGUAAGCCUUCCAUCUGAUUGCUUUGCAUGGCCUGAUUGUUCAUCAUACCUGUCUGUCCACCUUGGAAUUGUUGUUGAGGAUGUAAGCCUUCCAUCUGAUUGCUUUGCAUGGCCUGAUUGUUCAUCAUACCUGUC
rnacentral:misc_RNA from 1 species